rnacentral:rRNA from 1 species
AGCUGAUGCAGCGACGCCGCGUGAGGGAUGACGGCCUUCGGGUUGUAAACCUCUUUCAGUAGGGAAGAAGCGAGAGUGACGGUACCUGCAGAAGAAGCGCCGGCUAACUACGUGCCAGCAGCCGCGGUAAUACGUAGGGCGCAAGCGUUGUCCGGAAUUAUUGGGCGUAAAGAGCUCGUAGGCGGUUUGUCGCGUCUGCUGUGAAAGCCCGGGGCUCAACCCCGGGUCUGCAGUGGGUACGGGCAGACUAGAGUGCAGUAGGGGAGACUGGAAUUCCUGGUGUAGCGGUGAAAUGCGCAGAUAUCAGGAGGAACACCGAUGGCGAAGGCAGGUCUCUGGGCUGUUACUGACGCUGAGGAGCGAAAGCAUGGGGAGCGAACAGGAUUAGAUACCCUGGUAGUCCAUGCCGUAAACGUUGGGCACUAGGUGUGGGGGACAUUCCACGUUUUCCGCGCCGUAGCUAACGCAUUAAGUGCCCCGCCUGGGGAGUACGGCCGCAAGGCUAAAACUCAAAAAA